rnacentral:rRNA from 1 species
CACGUAGGGCGCAAGCGUUGUCCGGAAUUAUUGGGCGUAAAGAGCUCGUAGGCGGUCUGUUGCGUCUGCUGUGAAAACCCGGGGCUUAACCCCUGGCUUGCAGUGGAUACGGACAGACUAGAGGUAGGUAGGGGAGAAUGGAAUUCCCGGUGUAGCGGUGAAAUGCGCAGAUAUCGGGAGGAACACCGGUGGCGAAGGCGGGUCUCUGGGCCGAAAUUGACGCUGAGGAGCGAAAGCGUGGGGAGCAAACAGG